UUUAUGGAGAGUUUGAUCCUGGCUCAGGAUGAACGCUGGCGGCGUGCCUAAUACAUGCAAGUCGAGCGAACAGACGGGGAGCUUACUCCCCCGACGUUAGCGGCG
rnacentral:rRNA from 1 species